CUUUCCAACAAAAAAUAAUUAUCAAAAUCGGUACAUCCAGUAGAAAGUUAUGCGGUAUAAUACAACGUAGGUCGACGAAAAAAGCGUCAAGUAAAAACGCAUUAUUAGAUAUAACUCGAAAAGUAAUUGUUAGAUCUCAAAUAAAUUUAAAUGGGACCAAUUGGCACACACCACCUUUCGAUUAAAACAAAAUUUGUCGAAAUCGGUCUACCCGGUCAAAAGUUCUGAUGUAACAUACAUAAAAAAAAAA
rnacentral:misc_RNA from 1 species